rnacentral:rRNA from 1 species
GACGAACGCUGGCGGCGUGCUUAACACAUGCAAGUCGAACGGAAAGGCCCUGCUUGUGUGGGGUGCUCGAGUGGCGAACGGGUGAGUAACACGUGAGUAACCUGCCCUUGACUUUGGGAUAACUUCAGGAAACUGGGGCUAAUACCGGAUAGGAGCUCCUGCUGCAUGGUGGGGGUUGGAAAGUUUCGGCGGUUGGGGAUGGACUCGCGGCUUAUCAGCUUGUUGGUGGGGUAGUGGCCUACCAAGGCUUUGAUGGGUGGCCGGCCUGAGAGGGUGACCGGCGACAUUGGGACUGAGAUACGGCCCAGACUCCUACGGGAGGCAGCAGUGGGGAAUAUUGCACAAUGGGCGGAAGCCUGAUGCAGCAACGCCGCGUGCGGGAUGACGGCCUUCGGGUUGUAAACCGCUUUCGCCUGUGACGAAGCGUGAGUGACGGUAAUGGGUAAAGAAGCACCGGCUAACUACGUG